CCUGGCACAGUUGAGGCCUCCUUUGGGCCCAGUCUGGAGGGGGCCCAGGCAGAGCCAGGGCGUCGAGGCCCAGGCUGGAGGAGGACCAGGCUCAGUUGGGGCUGCUUUGGGGCCCAGGCUGGAGGAGGACCAGGCUCAGUUGGGGCUGCUUUGGGGCCCAGGCUGGAGGAGGACCAGGCUCGGUUGAGGCUGCUUUGGGGCCCAGUCUGGAGGGGGGCCCAGCACAGUCGGGGCCUCGGGGCCCAGUCUGGAGGGGGCCUGGCACAGUUGUGGCCUCCUUUUGGCCCAGUCUGGAGGAGGCCCAGGCAGAGCCAGGGCGUCGGGGCCCAGGCUGGAGGAGGACCAGGCUCAGUUGGGGCUGUUUUGGGGCCCAGGCUGGAGGAGGACCAGGCUCAGUUGAGGCUGCUUUGGGGCCCAGUCUGGAGGGGGGCCCAGUCUGGAGGGGGCCUGGCACAGUUGUGGCCUCCUUUGGGCCCAGUCUGGAGGGGGCCCAGGCAGAGUCAGGGCGUCGGGGCCCAGGCUGGAGGAGGACCAGGCUCAGUUGGGGCUGCUUUGGGGCCCAGGCUGGAGGAGGACCAGGCUCGGUUGAGGCUGCUUUGGAGCCCAGUCUGGAGGGGGGCCCAGCACAGUCGGGGCCUCGGGGCCCAGUCUGGAGGGGGCCUGGCACAGUUGUGGCCUCCUUUGGGCCCAGUCUGGAGGGGGCCCAGGCAGAGCCAGGGCGUCGGGGCCCAGGCUGGAGGAGGACCAGGCUCAGUUGGGGCUGCUUUGGGGCCCAGGAUGGAGGGGGGCCUGGCACAGCCAGAGCCUUGUGGCAGCAGUCCAACUCUGAAGUUCAACCUUUAACCAUAACCUAAAAUGGUAACCGUAGUGAAAGGUAGUGGCAGAUACAGCUGCUUUACUGUGUUUUAAUUUUCCCAAGAAUGGUGAAGGACUCAAGCUAGUAAAGAAAGACCCCUUUCUGAAGAGCAGGACUCAGAAGGUAUUACCGGAGAGCAGAUGUCCCAGUAGAGAUUCUUCCCCUUAGACAGCCAGCCCUUAAAUGAGGUUAGGGAGGGCUGGGACCAGGCUCCACCCCUUUUCUGCACAGGUGAAACGCUUCCAGCCGUGCUCCGCAGCAGACCAUGUUUUAACAAAGGUGAAAGCCUGUGAAACAAAAGAAUCCCUUCUUACUUGUUUCACGUUUGUGUUUGUUGACUGCAG
ensembl:lncRNA